rnacentral:snRNA from 1 species
UCACUUACCUGGACGGGGUCAACUCGCGAUCAAGAAGACGAGUGGCCUAGGCUAGUGACUCCCAUUGCACAUACCGGGAGGGUGCUACGCUUAAGGUCUUCCCUAGAGGAAGAGCCUACGUCAUUAUUUGUGGCAGCGGGGGUUUGCGUUCGCGCAGCCCCUAC